AUGAGAGCUGAUCUGCUGAGGAGGUGGGUCUGUGAAGGACUGAUAACCAAAAGAAGCGCAGGGACGAGCACGCUGCAUGAUCAGGCCGAGCGCAUCUUCGACUCACUGGUCACUCGAGGGUUCAUAUGUCCAGGAGAAAUCAGUGAUGCAGGAAAGAUCCAGAGCUUUACAUUGAAUCCUGUUGUUCAUGAGUUCAUCACUACAGAUGUAGGCUUCGUCGAUACAUCAUCACGGCCUGAGCUAGCUCACCGCUUCUCCACCAACAGUGGGGUAGCAAUACAGGAAGAAUCUCCUUCUGAAUCCGAUCCAUCCGGCCAUGGCAUCUUAACUACCAUUGAGUCUCUGUCUGAAUCUGCUCAAUGGCAGUUUCUGAAGGUGCUGGAUCUUCGAGGCUGCAAAGGGCUGCAGAAGAAGCAUCUAAACAGUGUUUGCAAUUGCAAGAUACUGCUGCUCAAGUACCUGAGCCUCAGGAACACAGAUGUCGUUGAACUGCCGAAGGACAUUGAGAAGUUGCAGUGCCUGCAGACAUUGGAUAUCCGGCAGACAGCGGUACGGGUACUUGCCACAAAAUCUGUUAUGCUUCCAAUGCUAAAGCAUCUGCUUGCUGGGAAGAGAGACUCUCCGACUCCAAGCAACGACUCUGAUACUGAUAGGUUCGAAGAGUCGUUUGCGGCGGUGCACCUUCCCAGGAGCAUCCGAAGAAUGGAAAAACUCGAGGUGCUCUCCCAUGUUGAAGUUGCCCACAGUGAUGAUCUGACUGAUGUUGGCAAGCUGCUACGUCUCAGAAAGCUUGGGGUGAUUCUCCAGGGUAAGAAAGAAGAACUGGAACUUCUGAUCCAGCAGGUUGAAAAAUUGUGUGGUUGCCUCCGCUCCCUGUCAAUCCAGAUGGACCAGCAGACGAAAAGCGAGGGCGAAUUGCCCUCACCAGUCACCUCCAAGAAAUCUCCAGAGCCUGAACAUCCACGGCAUCACAGGUGGGCUUUACCUGUGGAUUGCAGGGCAUGA
rnacentral:rRNA from 1 species